CUCUGCAAAUACAGAAAAUCUGGAAUGAAAAAGCAUAUGUCUGUAAAUGAUCUGAUUAAAAAUAACACACUGAAGUUAAACAAACCAACAAACCCUGGCUUUUAUAAAACUUGUCCAAGAUCUUUAAAAUGAUUGGGCUUUCUGUGGCUUUUGUAUCAAAGCAAGUGUCCUGCAAGGUAUAAUUUAUGUCUCUCCUAUCUCAUUACAACAAAGCAAUGACUUUAAAUCAUUGUAAUAGGCCGUAAUACUUCCUAGUAUUGUAGCAUGCAUGUGUGAUUUCACACUUUACAUAUGUUACCAGAUGGAUGUGCUGGGAAUAUGCCCAACCAGGUAUCAGCGAAAGGGUCCUGUUCUUGUCAAAACAAGGGACUUAAACCUCUGUUCUCAUCGAUAUUCUGGUUUUACUUCUGUGCAGUCUGUUGCUCUUCCUCGUAUGUCGUCUAAGCAGCAGAUCCUGUCUUCUAAACUGGAAUGUGUUCAGAGCGUUAAGGAUGGAGUCCUGGCAGAAGCCAAAUGUACUGAAUCCCAUCUCGUUGCACCAUUCUCUCAGAAAGGUGGCAGGGCAAAGACAGAGACUCAGUCUUCGUUGAAACUCUUUCAAGUGGAAGCAGAGACACUGCACAAAAAAGUGGACUCCAAGGAUCUGUAUAUGACCAGCAUGCUCUAUGAAAGGGAACAAACCAAGAAGGAGGUCACUGGGAAGGGAGUGACCGACCUAUUGUGGAAGCUUUGCCUAGCACAUAGUACGAGUUUUGAGGUGAGCUUUUACAUGUAA
rnacentral:lncRNA from 1 species